ACAGGGAGCACAAACCUUGUGUAAGGCUCCUGCCCGCCUGUCCUGUGAUCCUUCCAGCCACCUGCCAUGGGGCCUGCCACUUUUAUCCCCAUUUUACAGAUGAGGGAGAAGAGGCACAGAGAGGUUUAGUGACCUGCCCGGGUCACACAGCUGUGUAAGUGGUGGAGCUGGGAUCCGAAGCCCGGCCACCUGAGCCCUAAGCCGGAGCUUUUCCCGCCAGUUCACGCUGCUGCCCCCUCACUCUCUGGGGCCUUGUGGUUGGCACUUGGGGCUCAGAGCACAAGGUGGUCAGGGCAGAGAGCUUGGGUCACCCAGCGGUGGGAGCCUCUGCUGCAGGGGGUGGGCUCCCAGACAUGCUGCUUGCCCGCAGCCCCUGGGGACUGGCUUUUCUGCCUGGCACUGAUGGGCCUCGGGGUGGGGGCACCUCCCGCAGCUACGGAAGCCUGGCCGCCUGCCCGACACGGCACUGCCCACGCUGCAGAAUGGGGCAGCUGUGACUGAUCUGGCCUGGGACCCCUUUGACCCCCAUCGCCUCGCUGUGGCUGGUGAGGACGCCAGGAUCCGACUGUGGCGGGUACCCGCAGAGGGCCUGGAAGAGGUGCUCACCACGCCAGAGACUGUGCUCACAGGUCAGGCAGGCUCAGGAAUGGGGCUGGGGUGGCCAGUGUCUCCCAAGGGCUCCUGAUCACCCCUGCCUUCCUCCAGGCCACACGGAGAAGAUCUGUUCCCUGCGCUUCCACCCACUGGCAGCCGAUGUGCUGGCCUCGUCCUCCUAUGACCUCACUGUUCGCAUCUGGGACCUUCAGGCUGGAGCUGAUCGGCUGAAGCUGCAGGGCCACCAAGACCAGAUCUUCAGCCUGGCCUGGAGUCCUGAUGGGCAGCAGCUGGCCACUGUCUGCAAGGAUGGGCGUGUGCGGGUCUACAGGCCCCGGAGUGGCCCUGAGCCCCUGCAGGUGAGCACACAGGGGCUGGGGAGUGGCCUCAGACCUGGUUCAGGGGUGCUGGCUGGGUGUCACGCGAUGUAUCUCAACAGGAAGGCCCAGGGCCCAAGGGAGGACGCGGAGCUCGCAUUGUCUGGGUAUGUGAUGGUCGCUGUCUGCUGGUGUCCGGCUUUGACAGCCAAAGUGAGCGCCAGCUGCUCCUAUAUGAAGCUGAGGCCCUGGCCGGCGGACCCUUGGCAGUGUUGGGCCUGGACGUGGCUCCCUCAACCCUGCUGCCCAGCUACGACCCAGACACUGGCCUGGUGCUCCUGACCGGCAAGGGCGACACCCGUGUAUUCCUGUACGAGCUGCUCCCCGAGUCCCCUUUCUUCCUGGAGUGCAACAGCUUCACGUCGCCCGACCCCCACAAGGGCCUCGUCCUCCUGCCUAAGACGGAGUGCGACGUGCGGGAA
rnacentral:sRNA from 1 species